CAACCGGUGCAGGAGUCAGUGCCAGUCAGGACACAGCAUGGACAUGAGGGCUCCUGCUCAGCUCCUGGGGCUCCUGCUGCUCUGGCUCCCAGGUGCCACACGUGCCUUGGUGGUGACCCAGACUCCAACCACGGUGUCUGCAGCUGUGGGAGGCACAGUCACCAUCAAUUGCAAGACGAGUCAGAGUGUUAGCAGCAGCAAUGCUUUAUCCUGGUAUCAGCAGAAACCAGGGCAACCUCCAAAGCUCCUGAUCUAUCAGGCAUCCAAAUUAGCAUCUGGGGUCAAUGACAUGUUCAAGGGCAGUGGAUCUGGGACAUCAUUCACUCUCACCAUCAGCCCGGUGCAGGCUGAGGAUGCAGGAAUCUACUACUGUCAAGGGUAUUAUAGUGGUGAUAUUUACAUAAUGAUACAAGCCUGA